rnacentral:rRNA from 1 species
AACGAACGCUGGCGGCAUGCCUAACGCAUGCAAGUCGAACGAGACCUUCGGGUCUAGUGGCGCACGGGUGCGUAACGCGUGGGAACCUGCCCUUAGGUUCGGAAUAACUCCCCGAAAGGGGUGCUAAUACCGGAUAAUGUCUUCGGACCAAAGAUUUAUCGCCUUUGGAUGGGCCCGCGUUGGAUUAGCUAGUUGGUAGGGUAAAAGCCUACCAAGGCGUCGAUCCAUAGCUGGUCUGAGAGGAUGAUCAGCCACACUGGGACUGAGACACGGCCCAGACUCCUACGGGAGGCAGCAGUGGGGAAUAUUGGACAAUGGGCGAAAGCCUGAUCCAGCAAUGCCGCGUGAGUGAUGAAGGCCUUAGGGUUGUAAAGCUCUUUUACCCGGGAUGAUAAUGACAGUACCGGGAGAAUAAGCUCCGGCUAACUCCGUG